rnacentral:rRNA from 1 species
AGUGAACGCCGGCGGUAGGCCUAACACAUGCAAGUCGAACGGCAGCACAGUAAGAGCUUGCUCUUACGGGUGGCGAGUGGCGGACGGGUGAGGAAUACAUCGGAAUCUACUUUUUCGUGGGGGAUAACGUAGGGAAACUUACGCUAAUACCGCAUACGACCUACGGGUGAAAGCAGGGGAUCUUCGGACCUUGCGCGAUUGAAUGAGCCGAUGUCGGAUUAGCUAGUUGGCGGGGUAAAGGCCCACCAAGGCGACGAUCCGUAGCUGGUCUGAGAGGAUGAUCAGCCACACUGGAACUGAGACACGGUCCAGACUCCUACGGGAGGCAGCAGUGGGGAAUAUUGGACAAUGGGCGCAAGCCUGAUCCAGCCAUACCGCGUGGGUGAAGAAGGCCUUCGGGUUGUAGAGCCCUUUUGUUGGGAAAGAAAAGCAGCAGGUUAAUACCCCGCUGUUCUGACGGUACCCAAAGAAUAAGCACCGGCUAACUUCGUG